GUUUGCCCAACCAUUUGAUGUCACGUCUCUAUUUAGUUCAUGGUCAUAUCUGAGAAGAGAAAAACAAAACAGUGGCAAACUUCAGAUAAACUGUGUCACCACAAGAAGCAAGGGUCCCCAUUUCAGGUUCCUGUGUCACUGAGGGAGACAGGUCAUAAACCAAGAUAUAAAUACAUGGCCGAAAGGUCAGAAUGGAUGAGCACCACCAAGGGAGCCCAAGCAAGACAACAAACAGAUGGUGUGAAUCGAAGGAAGAGAACUGUGUGUCCUCUCUCUUUUCCUUCCCCGGAGGCGAGAUGGAGAGCGAGUCAAUGCCAAUGCCUGGGAUUUGUCUCACAACUUCAAACAGAUUUGCAAAGCUGGUUUGGCUGCCCCUUUGAUGGCUGGUCACAUGGUGAGA
rnacentral:lncRNA from 1 species